rnacentral:tRNA from 1 species
GCAUCUGUCGUAGUUUGGUAAUUACAUUUGGCUUCCACCCAGAAGAUACGGGUUCGAUCCCCGUCAGAUGCUCCA